GGUCCAUUAGUGUAGGGGCUAUCACAUCGGAGUAUGUUUCCGGUAACGCUGGUUCGAUUCCAGCAUGGACCU
rnacentral:tRNA from 1 species